rnacentral:rRNA from 1 species
UCACAUCGACGGGGAGGUUUGGCACCUCGAUGUCGGCUCAUCGCAUCCUGGGGCUGUAGUCGGUCCCAAGGGUUGGGCUGUUCGCCCAUUAAAGCGGUACGCGAGCUGGGUUCAGAACGUCGUGAGACAGUUCGGUCCCUAUCCGUCGUGGGCGUAGGAAAUUUGAGAGGAGCUGUCCUUAGUACGAGAGGACCGGGAUGGACAUACCUCUGGUGUACCAGUUGUCGUGCCAACGGCAUAGCUGGGUAGCUAUGUGUGGACGGGAUAAGUGCUGAAAGCAUCUAAGCAUGAAGCCCCCCUCAAGAUGAGAUUUCCCAACUUCGGUUAUAAGAUCCCUCAAAGAUGAUGAGGUUAAUAGGUUCGAGGUGGAAGCAUGGUGACAUGUGGAGCUGACGAAUACUAAUCGAUCGAAGACUUAAUCAAAA